rnacentral:rRNA from 1 species
CCUACGGGAGGCAGCAGUGCGGAAUAUUGGUCAAUGGCCGUAAGGCUGCACCAGCCAAGUCGCGUGAAGGCAGAAGGAUCUCUGGUUUGUAAACUUCUUUUAUCGGGGAAUAAAGGUAUCCACGUGUGGAUAUUUGCAUGUACCCUAUGAAUACGCAUCGGCUAACUCCGGGCCAGCAGCCGCGGUAAUACGGAGGAUGCGAACUUUAUCCGGAUUUAGUGGGUUUAAAGGGUGCGUAGGUUGUUUUUUAAGUCAGCGGUGAAAGUUUGUGGCUCAACCAUACAAUUGCCGUUGAAACUGGAAGACUUGAGUGUGUUUGAGGUAGGCGGAAUGCGUGGUGUAGCGGUGAAAUGCAUAGAUAUCACGCAGAACUCCGAUUGCGAAGGCAGCUUACUAAGCCAUAACUGACACUGAAGCACGAAAGCGUGGGGAUCAAACAGGAUUAGAUACCCCUGUAGUC